rnacentral:misc_RNA from 1 species
GAUGAGAACGUAGCGAAAUGCGAUAAGUAGUGUGAAUUGCAGAAUUCAGUGAAUCAUCGAAUCUUUGAACGCACAUUGCGCCCCUUGGUAUUCCAUGGGGCAUGCCUGUUCGAGCGUCAUUUGUACCUUCAAGCUCUGCUUGGUGUUGGGUGUUUGUCUCGCCUCUGCGUGUAGACUCGCCUCAAAACAAUUGGCAGCCGGCGUAUUGAUUUCGGAGCGCAGUACAUCUCGCGCUUUGCACUCAUAACGACGACGUCCAAAAGUACAUUUUUACACUCUUGACCUCGGAUCAGGAAGGGAUACCCGCUGAACUUAAGCAUAUCAAUAAGCGGAGGA